GGCGCCGUAGCCAAGUGGUCCAAGGCGGCGGAUUGCAAAUCCGUUAUUCCCCGGUUCGAAUCCGGGCGGCGCCUC
rnacentral:tRNA from 2 species